ACGGGAGGCAGCAGUGAGGAAUAUUGGUCAAUGGGCGGAAGCCUGAACCAGCCAAGUAGCGUGCAGGAUGACGGCCCUAUGGGUUGUAAACUGCUUUUAACCGGGAAUAAAGUGCGGGACUUGUCCCGCUUUGCAUGUACCGGUUGAAUAAGGACCGGCUAAUUCCGUGCCAGCAGCCGCGGUAAUACGGAAGGUCCGAGCGUUAUCCGGAUUUAUUGGGUUUAAAGGGAGCGUAGGCGGGCCUGCAAGUCAGCUGUGAAAACCUGCGGCUCAACCGUAGGCUUGCAGUUGAAACUGCCGGUCUUGAGUGCACAUAAGGAAGGUGGAAUUCGUGGUGUAGCGGUGAAAUGCAUAGAUAUCACGAAGAACUCCGAUUGCGAAGGCAGCCUUCCGGGGUGCUACUGACGCUGAGGCUCGAAAGUGCGGGAAUCAAACAGGAUUAGAUACCCUGGUA
rnacentral:rRNA from 1 species